rnacentral:rRNA from 1 species
UACGAAGGGGGCUAGCGUUGUUCGGAUUUACUGGGCGUAAAGCGCACGUAGGCGGAUCGUUAGGUCGGGGGUGAAAUCCUGGAGCUCAACUCCAGAACUGCCUUCGAUACUGGCGAUCUUGAGUCCGGAAGAGGUGAGUGGAACUCCUAGUGUAGAGGUGGAAUUCGUAGAUAUUAGGAAGAACACCAGUGGCGAAGGCGGCUCACUGGUCCGGUACUGACGCUGAGGUGCGAAAGCGUGGGGAGCAAACAGG